GAUGAACGCUGGCGGCGUGCCUAAUACAUGCCAGUCGAGCGAACGGACGAGAAGCUUGCUUCUCUGAUGUUAGCGGCGGACGGGUGAGUAACACGUGGAUAACCUACCUAUAAGACUGGGAUAACUUCGGGAAACCGGAGCUAAUACCGGAUAAUAUUUUGAACCGCAUGGUUCAAAAGUGAAAGACGGUCUUGCUGUCACUUAUAGAUAGAUCCGCGCUGCAUUAGCUAGUUGGUAAGGUAACGGCUUACCAAGGCAACGAUGCAUAGCCGACCUGAGAGGGUGAUCGGCCACACUGGAACUGAGACACGGUCCAGACUCCUACGGGAGGCAGCAGUAGGGAAUCUUCCGCAAUGGGCGAAAGCCUGACGGAGCAACGCCGCGUGAGUGAUGAAGGUCUUCGGAUCGUAAAACUCUGUUAUUAGGGAAGAACAUAUGUGUAAGUAACUGUGCACAUCUUGACGGUACCUAAUCAGAAAGCCACGGCUAACUACGUG
rnacentral:rRNA from 1 species